AAGGGCACCACAAGAACGCGUGGAGCAUGUGGCUUAAUUUGACUCAACGCGGGAAAUCUUACCGGGUCCGGACACACUGAGGAUUGACAGGCACUAUUAAAUUUUUAUGAAUCAUAUUCAUAAUAUUUAUGUUAAAUAUGCUAGUCCUUUCAUGAUUAUGUGAUAGGUGGUGCAUGGCCGUUCUUAGUUCGUGGAGUGAUCUGUCUGCUUAAUUGCGUUUCACUAAGGGCUUAAAAAUUACGUGUGUUGUAUUGUUUUUUGACCCCUAUCGUUGAAAUAUUACGUGUAGUGCGUGUCUUAAAUUGCGAUACUCACACGAUUAAGUCCUGAAAGCAACGAACGUGACCGCAACCUCUUGUUGCCUUUACAUUUAAACGCGUGUUAUGUAUUUUUAUACAUUUCACGUAAAAAAAGGCUUUUAAACUAGAGGGACCGCUGUAACUUUUUUAAACCAGAGGAAGGUUGCGGCAAUAACAGGUCUGUGAUGCCCUUAGAUGUUCCGGGCUGCACACGUGCUACAAUGAUUAUUGCAGUGAGCAUCUCAUUUAUUACACACCGCAUGCGCGUGUCCAAUUAUUUACGUACUAUUUCAGUGCGUACUUUAAUUGUGUACAUUGCGCGCGGUAAAGCCUGCUUCGAAAGUAAGUGGGUAAUCAAUUAGAAGUAAUGAUUUCCCAAUUUAUAGCACACAUAUAUACGGCAUCUUUACCCCGCUUGCGCUUGUCGUAAGUUUUGUGCGUAUCGAUGUUUUUUCCGUAUGUGCAAUUGUCAAUUCAUGGUGGGGACAGACCAUUGUUAAUUGUUGGUCUCGGUCUUAACUAGGAAUGCCUUGUACGGGUCUUUGGUUCAACAAACCACCCGGAAUACGUCCCUGCCCUUUGUACACACCGCCCGUCGCUCUUACCGAUGGACUUCUCUGUGAGUUUGAGGGACUGGGUAUCUGUAAAAAUUUAUUUUUACUAAUAUCACCUAUGGAAACUUAAACGAACAGUGUGGUCUAAAGGAAAGAGAAGUCGAACAAGGCA
rnacentral:rRNA from 1 species